UACGAAGGGGGCGAGCGUUGUUCGGAAUCACUGGGCUUAAAGCGUAUGUAGGCGGAUUGGAAAGUCAGAAGUGAAAGCCCAGGGCUCAACCUUGGAACUGCUUUUGAAACUUCCAGUCUAGAGUCCCGGAGAGGUUGGCGGAAUUCCGAGUGUAGAGGUGAAAUUCGCAGAUAUUCGGAGGAACACCAGUGGCGUAGGCGGCCAACUGGACGGGAACUGACGCUGAGAUACGAAAGCGUGGGGAGCAAAC
rnacentral:rRNA from 1 species